GGCAGAUUUGCUAUCAUUUCGGAGUUGCAGCCUUUUCAUUGGAAUGAAGCAUUUGAGAGAGAUAUGGAAGUGAAGAUUUUCAUGGGUAUAAUCGAAUAUCCAAGGUCAAGUCAAGCGUUAAAUAUGUGAUUCUUGAUUGGUCUGCUGAUUCUAAUGCAUCUAGAAUAUCCAGAGAAACAGCGUACGAGGGAAAAGAUAUUUGGGAGAAGCAAUUGGGAGUUGGGUAACCUUGAAGAAGAGGACUCUAUUGAUAUCUUUAAGUCCAACAAGGGCUGCACAAAAAGAUUUGCAUAAGUCUGGAAGAAUGGAAGUUCAAUUAGAGCCUGUAAGCAGAUUGAUAUUUUCAAUAAUUAACUUUGAUUUAUGUUCACCACACCUCACCAGUUCUGAAAAUUUUCCCACUUAUAUUGGGAUGGUGGGCGUGUUUAUUUGCGCGAAGUUGAAAGUAUUGUUUUCAGGCACAAGGGGUUCUACUCACUUGUAAUUGUAUGCACUUUCAACCACUCAAUUGGAAGAGUAAUUACCCUAAAAUAUUUUGUCAGG
rnacentral:misc_RNA from 1 species